rnacentral:rRNA from 9 species
UAUACCGUGAAACUGCGAAUGGCUCAUUAAAUCAGUUAUCGUUUAUUUGAUAGUACCUUACUACUUGGAUAACCGUGGUAAUUCUAGAGCUAAUACAUGCUGAAAACCCCAACUUCGGGAGGGGUGUAUUUAUUAGAUAAAAAACCAACGCCCUUCGGGGCUUCUUGGUGAUUCAUGAUAACUUCACGGAUCGCAUGGCCUUGCGCCGGCGACGGUUCAUUCAAAUUUCUGCCCUAUCAACUUUCGAUGGUAAGGUAUUGGCUUACCAUGGUUUCAACGGGUAACGGGGAAUUAGGGUUCGAUUCCGGAGAGGGAGCCUGAGAAACGGCUACCACAUCCAAGGAAGGCAGCAGGCGCGCAAAUUACCCAAUCCCGACACGGGGAGGUAGUGACAAUAAAUACUGAUACAGGGCUCUUUUGGGUCUUGUAAUUGGAAUGAGUACAAUUUAAACCUCUUAACGAGGAACAAUUGGAGGGCAAGUCUGGUGCCAGCAGCCGCGGUAAUUCCAGCUCCAAUAGCGUAUAUUAAAGUUGUUGCAGUUAAAAAGCUCGUAGUUGAAACUUGGGCCUGGCUGGCAGGUCCGCCUCACCGCGUGUACUUGUCCGGCCGGGCCUUUCCUUCUGGAGAACCUCAUGCCCUUCACUGGGUGUGUUGGGGAACCAGGACUUUUACUUUGAAAAAAUUAGAGUGUUCAAAGCAGGCCUUUGCUCGAAUACGUUAGCAUGGAAUAAUAGAAUAGGACGUGCGGUCCUAUUUUGUUGGUUUCUAGGACCGCCGUAAUGAUUAAUAGGGACAGUCGGGGGCAUCAGUAUUCAAUUGUCAGAGGUGAAAUUCUUGGAUUUAUUGAAGACUAACUACUGCGAAAGCAUUUGCCAAGGAUGUUUUCAUUAAUCAGUGAACGAAAGUUAGGGGAUCGAAGACGAUCAGAUACCGUCGUAGUCUUAACCGUAAACUAUGCCGACUAGGGAUCGGGCGAUGUUCUUUUUCUGACUCGCUCGGCACCUUACGAGAAAUCAAAGUU